GGGGAAUCAACUUUUUACUUGGGUAGAUAGUGAUAGGACAAAGGGAAAUGAUUUUAAGAUCCAGGAGAGAAGGUUUAGACUGGAUGUCAAGGAGAAGUUCUUCACAAAGCGGUGAGUGGCUGGAACAGGCUGCCCAGAGAUGCCACAUGUCUGGAGGUGUUCAAGACCAGGUUGGAUCUAGACCCUGGACAACCUGGUCUAGUACCAGGUCUGGAGGUUGGUGGCCACGCCUAUGGCAAGGAGGAGUUGGAACUUGAUGAUCCUUCAGGUCCCUUCCAUAGAAUCAUAGAAGCUAUUCUAUGAUUCUACGAUAGUGAAAUAUCUAUUUCAGAAUAUUUCUAUUCCUUCUAACUGGUUAGGUCCUCUGACUGCUACCAUGAAUAUACAAGUGGAAUAAAAAUCUAAAUAAAUGCUACAGUUUUUCCAGUGGCAACUUCACAAUGAGACUUCAAGGACAGCUGAGUGGGUCUCUUCUGGAGCAGAAGACUUGAGCUGUGGGUACUCGCCACAGGCUGCAGUAACUCCAAGCAUCUGAGAAGCUUGGUCCACCUUCAUGGAGAAUGCAUAGCCUUAUGCAGUAAGCCACAAUAGAGAGACAAGUGUGCAUCCCACUGGCUACCAGGAGGGCAGAUGAGAUCUGUGGGGCAAGUUUUUUAUGUGAGACAGGUGGCAAUAGUCUAGGGAAUGCUGCUUAAAAAAAAAUCAUGUCAGUGAGAAAUUGCACAGUUAGCGAUCAAAUGAUUUUUUUCUUCAUAAAGUCAAAAGUGUUCUCAGUUUUGAAACUAAACGUUGAGAAAAUAAACUGUAGGUAUACAUAUAUAUUUAGAAAUGCAUAAAUUUGAAAUUUCCUCUGGCCAUCAUUUUAUCAUUAUUCAUAACUAUAAAAAAAGCUAAAAAGACAACAUAUUAAACAGGCUUCUGCACAAUGGCUGUUGCAAUCUGUACCUUGAAAAGAAAAACUAAGGACAUUUGUUUUUUAUUACAGUAUUUACUCCAAAAAUUGAAAUAUCUUUAUCUUUGUAGUCAUAGGUGUAAAAUUUUAUAGGUUUGGGGAUAUCAUUUGUGGUUUUUAAUACAACAUUUUUCAUGUAUUUUAAACUGGUCAAGGAAAGAAGGAGAAAUUUUAGACCUACAUAAUGCUAUAAAUUCAUACUUUGUUUCCACUAUGUAAUUUAGCUCAGAAUUUGCUACAAUUGUGAUAUAUCAAGAGAAUUAUGCAUUAAAUUGGCCUCAAAAUUCUAUUUUUUUAAAAACCUUUCAAGAGGUAGAUAAAAACUGACCCAAGAGACAAAGCAUUUAGAAUACUAUUCAAUCCAACUUCAACACGUAACUUCUCCCAACACAGCUAUCUAAUUCCUCAACUGUCACAACCUAUCCAGACAACGAUUUUUAUGUUGAAAAUUAUAUGUGUGAAUCCCAUAUACAUACUUGAAUAGGUACAUAGAAAUGCAGAUGAUUUCUAGAGCAGAAGCAAUCAACCAAAAUAACUUUGAUUUUAAUGACUGCCGCUUCAUAUCAGAACUAUUCAUCAUCAGUCUGCCUAGGACUUUAUAGGUGGAUACGACAGCAUGCAAAAAUGAAAGCCUGGUCAUAGCUCUGUUUUGGAAGAACUAAUAGCUGAUAUCUUGUACAACAAAUACUGUAAUAAUGUACAGUUGAAUCUUUCUCAAAGUGCACAGAAUACAUGACAAACCAUCUAUUUUUGAUAUUUAAUUUGUAGAGAAAGUAGGAAAUGGUUUAGUCAUUUCAAAUCACACACUUUCAGGUAAAUUUGGAGAAUUUAAUGCUUCUUUUUUUACUCAAGAUAUCUGCUAUCACACUGGUGACACUUAAGAGUUUUGAAUUUUUCUUUAUGACUUCGCAAGGUCUGGAUCUCCUGACUGUGGUGUAAGAAAGAGGACAAAUCAAUUUGCCAAAAAGAAGCAAUAGGAAUAUUUUCUUUAACAGACAACUUAAAAUUUUAUAAUCAUAGCUCUGAGCCAAUUACUGGCUUCAUGAGUAUUUCCUUGCUGAACUCGUAAGGAUACCUACAAUUUUCAGAUAUAUAGGCAUUUGGCUCAUACUGUCUAAAGCACUAAUUAAC
ensembl:lncRNA